rnacentral:rRNA from 1 species
CCUACGGGAGGCAGCAGUAGGGAAUCUUUCACAAUGGGCGAAAGCCUGAUGGAGCAACGCCGCGUGCAGGAUGAAGGCCUUCGGGUUGGAAACUGCUUUUAUAAGCGAGAAAUAUGAUGGUAACUUAUGAAUAAGGAUCGGCUAACUACGUACCAGCAGCCGCGGUCAUACGUAGGAUCCGAGCAUUAUCCGGAGUGACUGGGUGUAAAGAGUUGCGUAGGUGGCAUAAUAAGUAGCUAGUGAAAUCUGGUGGUUCAACCAUUCAGACUAUUAGCUAAACUGUUAAGCUCGAGACCGUUAGUGGUAACUGGAAUUUCUAGUGUAGGAGUGAAAGCCGUAGAUAUUAGAAGGAACACCAAUAGCGUAGGCAGGUUACUGGGACGGUUCUGACACUAAGGCACGAAAGCGUAGGGAGCAAACGGGAUUAGAUACCCUUGUAGUC